rnacentral:rRNA from 1 species
CUCGUAGGCGGUUCGGCAAGUCGGAUGUGAAAUCUCCACGCUCAACGUGGAGGGGCCAUUCGAAACUGCCGUGACUCGAGUCCGGUAGGGGAGUUCGGAAUUCCCGGUGUAGCGGUGAAAUGCGCAGAUAUCGGGAGGAACACCAGUGGCGAAGGCGGAACUCUGGGCCGGAACUGACGCUGAGGAGCGAAAGCGUGGGGAGAGACA